UGGGCACGGGGGGACGGGGCGCAGCAGGCGCGAAAACUUUGCAAUACACGAAAGUGUGACAGGGCUAUCCCGAGUGCCAUCCGCUGAGGAAGGCUUUUACCCAGUUUAGAACGCUGGGGGAAUAAGGAGAGGGCAAGACUGGUGUCAGCCGCCGCGGUAAUACCAGCUCUCCGAGUGGUGUGGAUGUUUAUUGGGCCUAAAGCAUCCGUAGCUGGCUGGACAAGUCCCCUGUUAAAUCCACCGAUUUAAUCGUUGGAGUGCGGGGGAUACUGUUCGGCUAGGGGACGGGAGAGGCAGACGGUAUUUUCGGGGUAGGGGUGAAAUCCUAUAAUCCCGGGAAGACCACCAGUGGCGAAGGCUGUCUGCUAGAACGCGCCCGACGGUGAGGGAUGAAAGCUGGGGGAGCGAACCGGAUUAGAUACCCGGGUAGUCCCAGCUGUAAACGAUGCAGGCUAGGUGUUUGGGCGGCCACGUGCCGCUCUAGUGCCGCAGGGAAGCCGUUAAGCCUGCCGCCUGGGGAGUACGGCCGCAAGGCUGAAACUUAAAGGAAUUGGCGGGGGAGCACCACAAGGGGUGAAGCUUGCGGUUUAAUUGGAGUCAACGCCGGAAAUCUCACCGGGAGCGACAGCAGUGUGAAGGCCAGAUUAAAGGUCUUGCUGGACGAGCUGAGAGGAGGUGCAUGGCCGUCGCCAGUUCGUGCCGUGAGGUGUCCUGUUAAGUCAGGCAACGAUCGAGACCCGCGUCCUCUGUUGCUACUGGUUUUGUGCCAGGCACACUGAGGAGACCGCCGCUGAUAAAGCGGAGGAAGGAGCGGGCCACGGCAGGUCAGUAUGCCCCGAAUCUCCCGGGCCACACGCGAGCUGCAAUGGCAGGUACAAUUGGUUCCGACCUCGAAAGGGGAAGGUAAUCCCGAAAGCCUGCCGUAGUUGGGAUCGAGGGUUGAAACCCACCCUCGUGAACAUGGAACCCCUAGUAAUCGCGUGUCACUAGCGCGCGGUGAAUACGUCCCUGCUCCUUGCACGAAUUCGCCGA
rnacentral:rRNA from 1 species